UUUUAUUUGAGAGUUUGAUCCUGGCUCAGGAUGAACGCUGGCGGCGUGCCUAACACAUGCAAGUUGAGCGAUUUACUUCGGUAAAGAGCGGCGGACGGGGGAGUAACGCGUGGGUAACCUACCCUGUACACACGGAUAACAUACCGAAAGGUAUGCUAAUACGGGAUAAUAUAUUUGAGAGGCAUCUCUUGAAUAUCAAAGGUGAG
rnacentral:rRNA from 1 species